AACGAACGCUGGCGGCAGGCCUAACACAUUCAAGUCGAGCGCCCAGCAAUGGGAGCGGCAGACGGGUGAGUAACGCGUGGGAACCUUCCCGAUAGUACGGAAUAGCCCAGGGAAACUUGGAGUAAUACCGUAUACGCCCGCAAGGGGAAAGAUUUAUCGCUAUCGGAUGGGCCCGCGUAGGAUUAGCUAGUUGGUGAGGUAAUGGCUCACCAAGGCGACGAUCCUUAGCUGGUUUGAGAGAAUGACCGGCCACACUGGGACUGAGACACGGCCCAGACUCCUACGGGAGGCAGCAGUGGGGAAUCUUGGACAAUGGGCGCAAGCCUGAUCCAGCCAUGCCGCGUGAGUGACGAAGGUCUUCGGAUUGUAAAGCUCUUUUGCCAGGGACGAUAAUGACGGUACCUGGAGAAUAAGCCCCGGCUAACUUCGUGCCAGCCGCCGCCGUAACAC
rnacentral:rRNA from 1 species